UGCAGUCGAGGGGCAGCAUAAAUUACUUGUAAUUUGAUGGCGACCGGCGAACGGGUGCGUAACGCGUAUGCAACUUACCUUUUACUAGAGAAUAGCCAAGAGAAAUUUUGAUUAAUGCCCUAUACACUUUAAGACUCUCAUGAGUCUAAAAGAAAAGCUCCGGCGGUAAAAGAUGGGCAUGCGUUCUAUUAGCUUGUAGGUGAGGUAACGGCUCACCUAAGCUCCGAUAGAUAGGGGUCCUGAGAGGGAGACCCCCCACACUGGUACUGAGACACGGACCAGACUCCUACGGAAGGCAGCAGUAAGGAAUAUUGGACAAUGGAGGCAACUCUGAUCCAGCCAUGCCCCGUGAAGGAAGAAGGCCCUAUGGGUCGUAAACUUCUUUUAUACAGGAAGAAAUCUUUCCACGUGUGGAAGUUGACGGUACUGUAAGAAUAAGGAUCGGCUAACUCCGUGCCAGCAGCCGCGGUAAUACGGAGGAUCCAAGCGUUAUCCGGAAUUAUUGGGUUUAAAGGGUCCGCAGGCUGUUUGUUAAGUUAGAGGUGAAAUCCUACCGCUCAACGGUAGAACUGCCUUUAAUACUGGCAAACUUGAGUUAUUGUGAAGUAAUUAGAAUGUGUAGUGUAGCGGUGAAAUGCAUAGAUAUUACACAGAAUACCGAUUGCGAAAGCAGAUUACUAACAAUUAACUGACGCUGAGGGACGAAAGCGUGGGUAGCGAACAGGAUUAGAUACCCUGGUAGUCCACGCCGUAAACGAUGGUCACUAGCUGUUCGAUGUACAUUGGUACAUUGAGUGGCUAAGCGAAAGUGAUAAGUGACCCACCUGGGGAGUACGCUCGCAAGA
rnacentral:rRNA from 1 species